UCGGGAAUUUUGCUCAAUGGGCGCAAGCCUGAAGCAGCAACGCCGCGUGAGGGAUGAAGGCCUUCGGGUUGUAAACCUCUUUUCUCAGGGACGAUGAUGACGGUACCUGAGGAAUAAGUCACGGCUAACUACGUGCCAGCAGCCGCGGUAAUACGUAGGUGACCAGCGUUGUCCGGAUUUACUGGGCGUAAAGAGCGCGCAGGCGGUCGUUCAAGUCGAGUGCGAAAGCCCCCGGCUCAACUGGGGAGGGUCACUCGAUACUGAUCGACUUGAAGGCAGGAGAGGGAAGCGGAAUUCCCGGUGUAGUGGUGAAAUGCGUAGAUAUCGGGAGGAACACCAGUGGCGAAGGCGGCUUCCUGGCCUGUUCUUGACGCUGAGGCGCGAAAGCUAGGGGAGCAAACG
rnacentral:rRNA from 1 species